rnacentral:rRNA from 1 species
UACGGGGGGAGCAAGCGUUGUUCGGAUUUACUGGGCGUAAAGGGCGCGUAGGCGGUCAGCACAAGUCAGUUGUGAAAACUCCGGGCUUAACUCGGAAAGGUCAACUGAUACUGUGCGACUAGAGUGCGGAAGGGGCAACUGGAAUUCUCGGUGUAGCGGUGAAAUGCGUAGAUAUCGAGAGGAACACCUGCGGCGAAGGCGGGUUGCUGGGCCGACACUGACGCUGAUGCGCGAAAGCCAGGGGAGCGAACGGG